UUUGGAUUACUGGCUGCACCGGUACAGCUGAUGCACCACCGAAUUUUCGUUGCAGCUAAGUCACACGUGACUCUUAUAAGGGCUAACAGAACCAGACGCAUGCUGUGGAGGUGGAAGACGACGCUCGCUCCAAGUUUUCUCUCUAAAUCGAAUCGUAAGAGCCUCCAGCUCUUUUCUCUGCUUGCCUAAAUCCAAUCAUA
rnacentral:lncRNA from 1 species